rnacentral:rRNA from 1 species
GUGAGGAAUAUUGGUCAAUGGGCGGAAGCCUGAACCAGCCAAGUCGCGUGAAGGAAGAAGGAUCUAUGGUUUGUAAACUUCUUUUGAAGGGGGAUAAAGUGCGUCACGAGUGGUGCAUUGCAGGUACCCUUGGAAUAAGCAUCGGCUAACUCCGUGCCAGCAGCCGCGGUAAUACGGAGGAUGCGAGCGUUAUCCGGAUUUAUUGGGUUUAAAGGGUGCGUAGGUGGCUUUUUAAGUCAGCGGUGAAAACUGGCGGCUCAACCGCAAGAGUGCCGUUGAAACUGGGGAGCUAGAGUAUGAACGAGGUAGGCGGAAUGUGUGGUGUAGCGGUGAAAUGCAUAGAUAUCACGCAGAACUCCGAUAGCGAAGGCAGCUUACCAGGCCAUAACAGACACUGAAGCACGAAAGCGUGGGGAUCGAACAGGAUUAGAUACCCGGGUAGUCC